GAGUUUAUUACAAAUUUCAGUCAUUUUUAGAAGGUUGUACCGUUGGCAGUGACUGGCAUUCACAGUUCAAGAAUCAUCUCUCCUGCCUGCGCAAAAACUGCGUUAUUGGGAUUAACUUGAGUGAAAAGGUUUACAUUACGAUAUUGGAAAUUAUAUUAUCGGUCGCCAUUACUGCUUACGGCAAAGAUCGAGAAAAAGGUGUACAGGAGGGUGCUGAGGUCCACCUGAAGCAGGGGUGAGCGAUGUUAGGCUGGCUGCUGCUGGUGGCGCUCUUCAUCUGUCACGCCCCAGCAGGAGGUGAUGGCGCCUGGUGGCACAAGGACCACUUCAACCCCCUCAACACCGACACUGUCUCAGUGAAUGACUCGUGCGUGGUGAGAAGGUCGUUCUGGAACAACUCUGUGGAGGGCGUCGGGUGGCAUGUCUUCCUGAGGAUCGACAACGACACCGAUAUCCCACCUCAGUCGUUCUUCCUCACUCUGGACGACGCCUCCAGCGCCUCCCUCGUGAAGUUCUCUUGGGCUGGCCAGGACAAAGAGAGAGAGAGAUAUGAGAGAGAGAGAGAGAGAGGGAGAGAGAGAGAGAGAGAGAGAGAGAGAGAGAGAGAGAGAGAGAGAGAGAGAGAGAGAGAGAGAGAGAGAGAGA